GGCGGCAUAGCCAAGUGGUAAGGCCGGGGUCUGCAAAACCCCUAUUCACCGGUUCAAAUCCGGUUGCCGCCU
rnacentral:tRNA from 1 species